UACAGAGGUCUCAAGCGUUGUUCGGAUUCAUUGGGCGUAAAGGGUGCGUAGGCGGCGCGGUAAGUCGGGUGUGAAAUCUCCGAGCUCAACUCGGAAACUGCAUUGGAAACUACCUUGCUCGAGGGUUGGAGGGGGGACUGGAAUGCUUGGUGUAGCAGUGAAAUGCGUAGAUAUCAAGCGGAACACCAGUGGCGAAGGCGAGUCCCUGGACAACUCCUGACACUGAUGCACGAAAGCUAGGGGAGCAAACAGG
rnacentral:rRNA from 1 species